rnacentral:rRNA from 1 species
AGUGAACGCUGGCGGUAGGCCUAACACAUGCAAGUCGAACGGCAGCACAGUAAGAGCUUGCUCUUACGGGUGGCGAGUGGCGGACGGGUGAGGAAUACAUCGGAAUCUACUUUUUCGUGGGGGAUAACGUAGGGAAACUUACGCUAAUACCGCAUACGACCUACGGGUGAAAGCAGGGGAUCUUCGGACCUUGCGCGAUUGAAUGAGCCGAUGUCGGAUUAGCUAGUUGGCAGGGUAAAGGCCCACCAAGGCGACGAUCCGUAGCUGGUCUGAGAGGAUGAUCAGCCACACUGGAACUGAGACACGGUCCAGACUCCUACGGGAGGCAGCAGUGGGGAAUAUUGGGCAAUGGGCGCAAGCCUGAUCCAGCCAUACCGCGUGGGUGAAGAAGGCCUUCGGGCUGUAAAGCCCUUUUGUUGGGAAAGAAAAGCAGCAGGUUAAUACCCCGCUGUUCUGACGGUACCCAAAGAAUAAGCACCGGCUAACUUCGUG